rnacentral:rRNA from 1 species
UGGCGAACGGGUGAGUAACACGUGGGCAACCUGCCCAAAAGAGGGGGAUAACACUUGGAAACAGGUGCUAAUACCGCAUAACCAUAGUUACCGCAUGGUAACUAUGUAAAAGGUGGCUAUGCUACCGCUUUUGGAUGGGCCCGCGGCGCAUUAGCUAGUUGGUGGGGUAAAGGCUUACCAAGGCAAUGAUGCGUAGCCGAACUGAGAGGUUGAUCGGCCACAUUGGGACUGAGACACGGCCCAAACUCCUACGGAAGGCAGCA